rnacentral:rRNA from 1 species
UACGUAGGGUGCGAGCGUUGUCCGGAAUUACUGGGCGUAAAGAGCUCGUAGGUGGUUUGUCGCGUUGUCCGUGAAAACUCACAACUCAAUUGUGGGCGUGCGGGCGAUACGGGCAGACUGGAGUACUGCAGGGGAGACUGGAAUUCCUGGUGUAGCGGUGGAAUGCGCAGAUAUCAGGAGGAACACCGGUGGCGAAGGCGGCCGACUGGACCACACCUGACGCUGAGGCGCGAAGGCCAGGGGAGCGAACGGG